GACAGCAGCUGUCCUACAGGAAGAUGGCUAUUAAGGGAAGACAAAAGUGUCAUUAAGAGACUGCUGGCACUGUGGAUUGAGCUGCAUGCUGAGCCCUGAGGCCUUCUGGGGUGAGGGACCUCAGUGCAGGGUUGCAGAGAGAGCUGCUGGGGGCCUUGGCAGUGAGGACCCGGAGGC
ensembl:misc_RNA